AUAAGCAUUCUUCAAUUGUUUCUCCAUCAUCUCACUCUUAUACACCUGGAGUUUAUCCUUCUCAAGACUUCCAUCCACCUCCAUCUUCCCAGGAUUAUCAUCAUCCACCUCCAUCUUCCCAAGAUUAUCAUCAUCCACCACCAUCCCAGGAUUAUCACCGUCCACCAUCUUCCCAAGAUUACCAUCCUCCACCACCUUCCCAAGAUUAUCAUUCUCCACCACCUUCCCAGGAGUACCAUCCUCCACCACCUUCCCAAGAUUAUCAACCUCCUCCACCUUCCCAAGAUUUCCAUCAUCCUCCACCUGCUAGAUCAGACAGUUCUUAUUCUGAGCCCUACAACCACCAGCAAUACUCACCAGAUCAGUCACAGAACUUAGGUCCUAAUUACCCUUCUCAUGAAACUCCCUCUUCUUACUCUCUUCCCCAUUUUCAAUCUUAUCCAAGUUUCUCAGAAAGCACCCUACCAUCGGUACCAGUAAACCAGACUUAUUAUCAAGGGCCUGAUGCUUCAUACUCUUCCCAGUCAGCUCCUCUAGCUUCAAACCAUUCAUUAAAUGCCCAAAACAGUCUCAGCAGCAGAAAUGGAUCUAUCUUGGAGCCCCAGUCAACAACUCAGACAUACCAGUAUGACAGCAAUUACCAGCCAGCACCUGAAAGAAUAGCCGAGGCACACAAAGCUGCAAGAUUUGCUGUUGGGGCACUGGCAUUCGAUGACGUCUCAAUUGCAGUAGACUACUUGAAGAAAUCACUCGAGUUGCUGACAAACCCAUCAGUUGGCCAGUAAGAAUUUAUUUAAAACUUGUAGUGGUAUACAUGGUGACUUGUUUUGUAAUAUAUUAUAUUCAUCGUGCAUAUAAGCGUGAAGAAACUCAGUAAACAUGGCUUGAAUGAAAAUCGUAAAAUCUUCCUGGAGUCUAUUUAUCUUUAAUAUGAAGUUACUGAAAUUGGUUUCUUUGUCAAGGGGUUAUGAGACAUGAGAUAUCUGAUUGAUGAAUCUCAGUUGUCCCGAGUCAAUUUUUGUGCGACUGUUCUCAAAUCUCAAUUUAGGUAUUUUCAUUCAUCUAUUGACACUUGCAAAAUCUGAAUCUCAGCUGUAAAAUUUCUUGGCACGACAUGAAACUUCUUGCUUAAGAAGUUCCAUGCAGAGACUACUUCAGUUUGGUCUGUGGCAUAAACUAGACCAAUUCCAUUUCCGUUUAUAACUAUAUUUUUCAUAGCUGUAUAGCCACAUAGCCAGGUAAAAAUAAAACUUCAAACGAUCUUUCAAAUGAGUCUUCUGAAUAAAUAUUUUCUAACAUUAAUUGAAAUUCGACUCAGUAUAUAAAUAUUGUCAUGAAUUAUUUUAUUAUCUAGAUUGACCGCGGUCAUUUGUUACUUAUGGAAGUUUUUUCCUUAGUAGUAUAACAUAACCAUAAUUACCUAUUUUGAUUUUCUUCACUUGUAAAUUGUAGUACUUACGGGUCCAUUUAUGACCAUUUAAAAAAAAAUUAAUGUUAAUUUUUGUAAAAAUGAAGAUUUGAAAACGCUCUUCACAUAAAAGAUUAGUUUAAAUAGUUUGUCCUAAUUUUUUUUAAAUAUUUAAUCUUUUUACUAAGAAUUUUAUUAAAUGAUAAUUAUUUUAUAAAAAAAGAGCUUAUAAUGAGAAUUUAUUGUGUUUUUUUAUUAAAUUUAUUUUUAAAAUUUAUUUUUUUAAAAAUAUAUAAUUUUUAUUAUGUAUAAAUCAAUGUUUUAUAAAUCGAGAUCGAACUUGUGAAACAAUCUAUUUAAGACUCAAUUGGUUUAACCGAUUAAACCUAUGGUCGAACAAUUUAUUAAAUAAAUAUAUAAGAAAAAAAUUAAAUUUUAUAAAUAUGUCACAAACAAUCAUAUAUUUAUGACAUGAUAAAAUAAAUAUUUCAAAAAUCUAUUAGAAACAUAAUACAUAAAUAUAUAAUACAGAAAUAUCAAUAGUAUCACAAUAUAAGUGUACACUUAAUUUCAUAUUCAUUUAAAAAUAACUUAAAUAAAUUAAAAAAUAUAAUAAAAUAAAAUAAAUUAAUUCAAAUCAAAAUUAAAAAAAUAAAAUAUAAUAAUUAAAAUAAAAUUCAAAUAAUUAAAAAUAUUGUACAGGAUAUUCUUUUUUAUGUUUAAUUCAUUUAAGAAGAAGCAGUAUCAUAAUGAUCCAACAAAGAUAGCAUAUUUAAUUGAACCAAAAUAAGUAAGUUUGAAUUAUGAUCAAUAACUUAUAAUUGACAUAGACAAAUAAUGUUGACUUGAACGAAAAUAAAUAUUAAGUCGGACAAUGUGAUUAUGUUUGAUAUAGACGACAUGAUGAUGAUGUAGUGUGGUUGAAAGAAAAAAUAUAAAAUAAUGAUAGAACUUAAAAGUUUGUAUGGUUAUAAAAAGAAAUAAUUUUUUUUUUGUGAGUAAGGAAUAUUUUAAGUUUUGAAAUUGAUAUAUUAAAUUUUUUCAAUUCUUUUUAAAAAAAAAAUAUCAAUUUGAUGAAUUUAUUUGGUUACAAAAUCGGUUCGGUUCUUUGAUUAAAACGGUUUCGAAUAAUUCAAUCUGAUUUGCCGGUUUUACUAUGAUUUUGAUUCAUUAACGAUUUUUAAAGGUUGCCCGAACUGAACUCAACUUCGAUUCUCAAUCUAAUUGGUUUAACCAACCGAUUCGAAUUUUAAAGCAUUGAUAUCCUAACAUUAAAUAUUUAGAUUAAUAAAUAUCAAAAUUACUUUUUUAUAAUAUAGUGUGAUAUAACUUUAAUUUUUUUUGGAAGGAACUUUUGCAAAAAAAUUUUUUUUCGAAAAUUCUUUCAGAAAAAGUUAAAGUUAUAUCAAGCACAAUUAUUAUAUAAUAAAAAUAAAAGUUUGAUAUUUAUUAAUUUAAACAUUUAGUGUUAUGAUACCAAUGUUUUAAAAACGGAACAAAUUGCCUAUUGGAUGAAGAAUUGAAGUUGAAUCCGGUCCGAUCUUUAAAAAUAACUAAUAGAUUAAAAUCGGAGUAAAAUUGAAAAAAUCAAAUUGAAAAAAUCAAAUUGAAUUGUUCGAAACCGUUUUAACCAAAGAAACAGAGCCGAUUAUGUAAAAUCGUCCGAUUCAAAUAAAUACAUAAUUUUUUUAUUUUUUUAUGUAAAUUCAGAAGAUAAUUCAUAAAAUAAAUAAAAAAUUGAUAUUGAGAUAUUAAAUUUUGUCAAAAAAUUAAAAGAAAUAUUAGUUUGAUGCAUUUAUUUGAAUCAGACGAUUUUACAAAAUCGACUCCGAUUCUUUGAUUAAAACGAUUUCAAACAAUUCAAUUCAGUUUUUUCGAUUUUAUUUCAAUUUUGACCAAUUCACAAUUAUUAACGAUUGACCGAACCAGAUUCAACUUUUAUUCUCGAUCCAAUCAAUUAAGCCAACUGAUUUGAUUUGAUUUUUAAAAUAUUGAUAUUUUAACAUUAAAUAUUUAAACUAAUAAAUAUCAUAAUUACUUUUUUAUUAUAUAAUAAUUGCAUAUUAGUUUUUUUAAAGGAUUUUUGCAAAAAUUAUUUUUUGCAAAUACAAAGUUAAGAUUACAUUUUAAAGAACUUUAUGACUAAUGGCCCCUACACUCCUUUUAAAAAAAAAAGGGCCAUAUUUAGGUGUAACCCACUACAAAUUCAGCUCAAAAUAAUUCAGAAAAUGUCAGAUUUUUUCUGUGAUUUUAAUUUUAACAUAUUUAUUCAUCCUUAUUUUUACUUUCAAAUCAUUUAGAUCAAUAACAAAUUAUUUACCCCACAUAAAUUAUUUGAUAUGUUAAAUUUUUUCAAUAACAAAAGAUUUUUGGAAAACUUCGUCAAUAUUAAAAUUUUUAGAAUUCUUACCAGAAAUAUUUUUAUGAAGUUUUUUGAUUUGUAUCUUCAAUAUCGUGAUGUCAAGUCAACAAUAAAUAAUUUAUGCAUGUCUGAAUGUUUUAUAUUAAAUUUAUUGAUAAAAUUUUUGAAAAAAUUAAUAUGAAGUGUUUUUGAUAAAAUUAAAACUGAAAACAUAAUUUGUAUGUUAAAAAACAUUUAUAUAUAAUUUUUUUUUGCGUGAACUUAAUCCAAAUAAAUUAAAAGUAAACAUAACAAAAUUAAAUUACAAAAACUAAAAUAUGUAGUAUGUAAUACAAAUUUUCAUUUCUUAAAUUUUUAUUUUCACUUCUUCAAUCAAUUUUUUAUAUAUUUUAAAUUGUUAAAAUAAAUUGUCUCAAACACCUUGAGUAAGAAAAUAAAUGGAUUUUUUUUUAAAAUAACCAUAAAUUUUAAAUUAAAUCUCUAAAUAAUUCUUUUUCCAAAAAAAUACAAAAAUAAUCCUAUUUUAUAACUGAUGCGUCAGUUGAACUGACACAUCCAAUACAACUUUAAAGAAAGCGUCAGUAUCCUUGGCGCAUGCUCCCAAUGGUGGGCAACCUAGGUGUCACAUGCAUUGCGCAUGGAUACACUACAUAGUGUAUGCGCCAGUGCAUGUGGCACAUGCACUUGGUCAAUUUAUUUAUUUAUUUUAAAUUUAAAUGUUAAUAUUAAAAAUAUUAUAUAUAUAUAUAUAUAUAUAUAAUUACACGGAAUUAACAAGAAAUUCAAUGAUCAACCCGAUUGAAACGCCCCCUGUUCCACAUCCAGAUGCGUUAGUUUGCCUUCGAGGUCGCCAACAAUUUUCCUGAGAUGUUUUGGGUCUUUGAGUGCUGACAUGAUCCAAUGGUGGUUGGUGUGAAGGUCCGGUGGAAGGUCCAACGAUAUUUGAUAGAUGUGUCAUCAUUUAUUCCCAAUAGCUGGAGGGGUUCUCGCCAACUGCGCUUCCAUAAUUGAGUUCGGUGCCCAUGUUCUCGUAGUUGGAUCGUUAUGGUUGAGUGAAUUGCGGACGAUAUGGUUUCCCGAAUUGGGACAUUGAAUCGGUUUGGAAACGAAUCAAUGGUUCCUGGGGUGUACUAUAGUCAAACAAUGGUUAGGAGUUGUGGCGAUGAGAUGUUUGGGUGGUCAUUGAUGGGGGGCUAUGAUGGCAUGAAUUGUAUGAAUCAUCUGAGCUAUAGACUGUUGUGGUGGCUGCGUAUGGUUGUUGGUGGGUAGGGUUUGAUUCUUGGUUUUGAGGUUGGGUGUGUGACAUAAAUGUGUUGCGAGGUUAAGUGUUUGGUUGUUGGGUGUAUAUGGUAGGUUGAUGGUGUGAGGUUGGUCGUUGGGUUUGAGUGGUUUGACAUUGUUCUUGGACGAGGACUUGUUGUUGGGUGUAUGAUGACGAAGCUAGUUGGCGUGGAUCAAUCAAAUACCUUGGCUCAGACACAAAUUGUGGCGUUGUAACCAACCUAAACCAUGCCAUAUGUUGUUGACUUGGUCUAGCAUUCUGUAUGAUUGGUUCGUUUAAGAUGUGUUGUCGUCGAUUCCUCCAAUGACGACACAUCUCUUUUGCGAAGUCUCUCCAGUCGGAAUAAUCCCAUUGGGCAUUGACUCUUUUUUGACGCCAAUCUCUAAACCACGUUGGAGGUUCAGGAAUUUGUUAUUGCAUGCCGAACUGCAGUUUUACCCGGUCACUCUGGUGCAUCUCCACAGUAGUGAACCAGAUAAUUGGUGUUUUUGCUGUCCAAACUACAUUAUCAUCAUGGUUAACCUGAUGAUCAAGACCCAAAUAUGGCCUUUAGAUAAAUUUUACAAGAAUACGACAUGAUUAGAUGAUAAAUAAUUUGAUAAUUAUUUUGAAAUCAAAAUAGAGUUGUGUAGGAGUAUUACAUCGUCUGGUCCAAUAUGAUUCAAUAGAUUGCGAUAGACUACUAUAGCGUGUUUCAGACACCUAUUGUAGUUCAUCCCUCUAACUAAUCACCUAGAUCAAAAACAUUUGAAAAAUAUUAUUUACAGUUACUUGUAAUAUAAAGUCUAAAUAAUUAGAUGGUAAAGUUUUAAACUUACUUUGUUGCAAACGAAAAUAUGAAUGACUUCUCGUUUACUGGGGCGAGUGAUGACAUUCUUGACCAACCCCAUGCUUGUAGCAAAUAUGCGCAUGAAUAAAACGUACAAGCAUUUUUUUUUGGCAUUUUUGCACACCGCACUAUAUAGAUGGGCCAAAACAGCUGAACCCCAACCAUAUGUGCUUACUGAAGGAGAAUAGCAAUCCAAAACGUAGCGGAAUUUAAAAUUUCUCCUUUAGUGAUCCUUACGAAUGGGCAUGAUCAGUGAUAUAAUCAUUACCUCUUGUGGCGAUUGCAACCUUUUAUGCAGAUCUAUGGAGCGAUAACGAACGUUGAACGAUGACAACGCCUCUACUCAGUCCACACGAACGGAUUCCUUCAAUCUCAGUGCUAACUGUUACGAAUGAAGGCUUUGAGUGAGAGAAAGAGAGAGAACGAAAUUGCAACUGCACAAAUGCUUCUACACAAGGGUUCUAUUUAUAGAACCACUUGUGUGGGCUACAAGCUAAAAAGCCCACUCAAGUGUAUGUGGCUCAUAUCUUAUAAUAUGCCAAAAUCACUUAAGCGCGUGGUACCUUACCAUAUUUCGUAUUCUACUUAAGUACACCGUACCUUACGAUGUUCUACAAUUCACUUAGGUGCACCGUACAUUACGGUAUUCCUUAGUUACUCUAUAUCUCAUCAAUCCGUCUUUUUGUGUGCGACCCUGUAGGUUUUCGCGACAUUGACAAUUGUAUUAAAUCACGUAUUUAACAUGAUAAACAGUGAGCGGUAUCUAGCAACACAUCAUUGCUACCCAAGACACGAAAAUGUCACGUGAUAUGACAAAUCCUUUUGUGAUAAUACUUAUGUGUAUAAUUACCCUUUUGUCCUUAUGUCUAUAUUGAACACAAGGCAUAAACCGUGUCAUCCUUGUCCAGUUCAAUAUUGGGCCCGUAGACAUUUAUCCUGUUACGCAGGAUGGGCAAAUUCCAUCUAGGUCACUCAUGUCCCUUAGCAUGCUUCGUGGAGUACCCAUCAACUGUCUUUAUNNNNNNNNNNNNNNNNNNNNNNNNNNNNNNNNNNNNNNNNNNNNNNNNNNNNNNNNNNNNNNNNNNNNNNNNNNNNNNNNNNNNNNNNNNNNNNNNNNNNNNNNNNNNNNNNNNNNNNNNNNNNNNNNNNNNNNNNNNNNNNNNNNNNNNNNNNNNNNNNNNNNNNNNNNNNNNNNNNNNNNNNNNNNNNNNNNNNNNNNNNNNNNNNNNNNNNNNNNNNNNNNNNNNNNNNNNNNNNNNNNNNNNNNNNNNNNNNNNNNNNNNNNNNNNNNNNNNNNNNNNNNNNNNNNNNNNNNNNNNNNNNNNNNNNNNNNNNNNNNNNNNNNNNNNNNNNNNNNNNNNNNNNNNNNNNNNNNNNNNNNNNNNNNNNNNNNNNNNNNNNNNNNNNNNNNNNNNNNNNNNNNNNNNNNNNNNNNNNNNNNNNNNNNNNNNNNNNNNNNNNNNNNNNNNNNNNNNNNNNNNNNNNNNNNNNNNNNNNNNNNNNNNNNNNNNNNNNNNNNNNNNNNNNNNNNNNNNNNNNNNNNNNNNNNNNNNNNNNNNNNNNNNNNNNNNNNNNNNNNNNNNNNNNNNNNNNNNNNNNNNNNNNNNNNNNNNNNNNNNNNNNNNNNNNNNNNNNNNNNNNNNNNNNNNNNNNNNNNNNNNNNNNNNNNNNNNNNNNNNNNNNNNNNNNNNNNNNNNNNNNNNNNNNNNNNNNNNNNNNNNNNNNNNNNNNNNNNNNNNNNNNNNNNNNNNNNNNNNNNNNNNNNNNNNNNNNNNNNNNNNNNNNNNNNNNNNNNNNNNNNNNNNNNNNNNNNNNNNNNNNNNNNNNNNNNNNNNNNNNNNNNNNNNNNNNNNNNNNNNNNNNNNNNNNNNNNNNNNNNNNNNNNNNNNNNNNNNNNNNNNNNNNNNNNNNNNNNNNNNNNNNNNNNNNNNNNNNNNNNNNNNNNNNNNNNNNNNNNNNNNNNNNNNNNNNNNNNNNNNNNNNNNNNNNNNNNNNNNNNNNNNNNNNNNNNNNNNNNNNNNNNNNNNNNNNNNNNNNNNNNNNNNNNNNNNNNNNNNNNNNNNNNNNNNNNNNNNNNNNNNNNNNNNNNNNNNNNNNNNNNNNNNNNNNNNNNNNNNNNNNNNNNNNNNNNNNNNNNNNNNNNNNNNNNNNNNNNNNNNNNNNNNNNNNNNNNNNNNNNNNNNNNNNNNNNNNNNNNNNNNNNNNNNNNNNNNNNNNNNNNNNNNNNNNNNNNNNNNNNNNNNNNNNNNNNNNNNNNNNNNNNNNNNNNNNNNNNNNNNNNNNNNNNNNNNNNNNNNNNNNNNNNNNNNNNNNNNNNNNNNNNNNNNNNNNNNNNNNNNNNNNNNNNNNNNNNNNNNNNNNNNNNNNNNNNNNNNNNNNNNNNNNNNNNNNNNNNNNNNNNNNNNNNNNNNNNNNNNNNNNNNNNNNNNNNNNNNNNNNNNNNNNNNNNNNNNNNNNNNNNNNNNNNNNNNNAAAAAGCCUUUUAUUAUUAAUAAAUAAUUCGAUACAAGUACCAAAAGUAUUGGCCUCUAGGGCUUACACCAACAAUCUCCCACUAGAACUAGAGCCAAUCAGGCAUACCCCUAAUGCCCAUAGAUCUAGUAUGGCCAUCAUGCUUCUGCUGCGCAAGAGGCUUUGUCAGUGGGUCAGCAAUAUUGUCAAGUGUAGGUACUCUGCAUAUUUUCACAUCUCCUCUAUCUAUUAUCUCUCGAAUGAGGUGAUAAUGCCUAAGUAUGUGUUUGGAUCGUUGGUGAGAUCUAGGUUCCUUAGAUUGUGCGAUAGCACCAUUAUUAUCACAAUAGAGACCAAUGAGAUCCACAAUGCUAGGAACUAUACCAAGUUCACUAAUGAACUUUUUGAUCCAAACAACUUCCUUUGCUGCACUUGAGACAACGAUAUACUCGGCCUCGGUUGUAGAAUCAUCAACUGUAUCUUGCUUUGAACUUUUCCAGCUCAUAGCACCACCGUUUAAGCAAAACACAUAACCAGAUUGCAAUCUAAAGUCAUCCUUAUCUGUCUGGAAGCUAGCAUUGGUGUAUCCAAUUAUAGCCAGCUCUUCCUGACCUCCAUAUAUUAAGAAUGAGUUCUUAGUCCUUCUCAAAUACUUAAGGAUAUUCUUGACAGCUACCCAAUGAGCAUCACCAAGAUCAGAUUGGUACCUACUCGUUGCACUUAAAGCAUAUGAGACAUCUGGUCGAGUACAUAACAUGACAUACAUGAUAGAUCCUAUUGCAGAUGCAUAUGGAAUCUUAUUCAUGCGAUCCCUUUCUUCCUUAGUUAAAGGGGAUUGUGUUUUUGAUAGACACAGGCCAUGUUGCAUAGGUAUGAAUCCUUUCUUGGAAUCAUGCAUAUUAAAGCGUCUCAACACUUUGUCUAUGUAUGUACUCUGACUUAGGCCAAGCAGUUUUUGUGAUCUAUCUCUAUAGAUUCUGAUUCCUAAUAUAUAGGCUGCUUCACCUAGGUCCUUCAUAGAAAAGCAUUUCCCCAACCAAGACUUUACUUGUUGUAGGGUAGGGAUAUCGUUUCCAAUGAGUAAUAUGUCAUCUACAUAUAAUACCAGGAAAACGAUCAUGCUCCCACUAACCUUCUUGUAGACACAAGGCUCAUCUUCGUUCUUGAUGAAUCCAUAUUGUUUUACUGUUUCAUCAAAACGAAGAUUCCAGCUUCUGGAAGCUUGCUUCAAUCCAUAGAUUGAUCUUUGUAACUUACAUAUCUUUUGGGCUUCUUCUGGUAUGUCAAAUCCUUCAGGCUGUGUCAUGUACACAUCCUCAAGAAGAUUCCCAUUAAGGAAAGCAGUUUUGACAUCCAUCUGCCAUAUUUCAUAAUCAUGAUAUGCAGCGAUAGCAAGUAAAAUCCGAACAGAUUUAAGCAUUGCAACUGGUGAAAAGGUUUCAUCAUAGUCAACCCCAUGAAUUUGUUUAUAUCCUUUUGCAACCAGUCUUGCCUUAUAGGUAUGUACCUUACCAUCCAUGUCAGUCUUCUUUUUGAAGACCCACUUGCAUCCUAUAGGGUUAACUCCUACAGGAGGCUCUACCAAGGUCCAAACUUGGUUUGUGUACAUGGAAUCCAUUUCAGAUUUCAUGGCUUCUAGCCACUUCUCAGACUCGGGACCAGUUAUGGCCUCUUGGUAGGUCACAGGCUCAUCUUGAUCCAUGAGUAAUACAUCACCUUGAUCAGUUAUGAGAUAUCCAUAUCUCUCAGGUAGGUGACGUAUCCUGCUUGACCUACGCUGGUCUUGUUCUACUUGAGCAGGUUGCUCUUCCACAACUACUUGUGUUUCCUGCUCUAAUUCCUCCAUAGGUGUAUCGAUGCUUUGUGAUUCUUGAAUUUCUUCAAGCUCUACUUUCCUCCCACUGAUUCCUUUGGAAAUAAAAUCCUUUUCUAGGAAAACUCCAGUUCGAGCGACAAACACUUUGCCCUCAGAAGGAUUGUAGAAGUAAUACCCUCUUGUUUCUUUAGGAUACCCCACAAAUAAGCAUUUGUCAGAUUUGGGCUCAAGCUUAGUUGAAAUUUGUCGUUUCACAUAAACUUCGCAACCCCAAAUCUUCAUGUAAGACAUAUGUGGUUUCUUACCACUCCAUAUCUCAUAUGGUGUCUUCUCAACCUUUUUGGAUGGAACACGGUUAAGUGUGUAAGCUGCUGUCAAUAGUGCAUGUCCCCAAAAGGAGUUUGGAAGAUCGGCGUGACUCAUCAUGGAUCGGACCAUGUCUAACAGGGUUCGAUUUCUUCUCUCAGAUACACCAUUCCAUUGGGGUGUUCCAGGAGGAGUAAGUUGGGAUAGGAUCCCACACUCUUUCAGAUGGUCAUCAAACUCUAGGCUUAAAUACUCACCACCUCGAUCUGAUCGAAGAGUUUUAAUAUUCUUACCUAGUUGGUUUUGUACUUCAUUCUUGAAUUCCUUGAACUUUUCAAAGGACUCUGAUUUGUGUUUCAUUAAAUACACAUAACCAUAUCUACUGAAAUCAUCAGUAAAUGUGAUGAAGUACUGAAAACCUCCUCUGGCUGGUAUGUUCAGUGGUCCACAUACAUCAGUAUGUAUGAGGGCCAAAAGAUCAUUAGCUCUUUCACCUUUUCCUGUGAAUGGAGACUUUGUCAUCUUUCCAAUUAAACAAGAUCUGCAUGUCUCAUAUGAUUCAUAAUCAAAAGAGUCCAAGAGUCCAUCUUUAUGGAGUUUGGAAAUGCGUUUCUCAUUUAUGUGGCCUAAUCGACAAUGCCAAAGGUAAGUUGGAUUUAACUCAUUAGGUUUCAUCCUUUUAGUAUUAAUGUUAUAAAUAGGCAUUUCAAGAUCAAGGACAUAUAGUCCAUUGUUCAUUUGUGCAGUAGCAUAGAAUAUAUCAUUCAAAUAAAUUGAGCAACAAUUGUUCUUUAUUAUAAAUGAAAAACCAAACUUGUCCAAACAAGAAACAGAAAUAAUAUUCCUGCUAAUUGCAGGUACAUAAUAACAGUUCUCUAAUUGAAUUAUUAAGCCACUAGGUAAAGUCAAUACAUAAGUUCCUACGACUAAAGCAACAAUCUUUGCUCCAUUGCCAACUCGUAGGUCAACUUCAUCUUUUUCCAAAUCUCUACUCCUUUUUAGCCCCUGCACAUUGGUACAAAUGUGAGAACCGCAUCCAGUAUCUAAUACCCAUGAUGCAUAAGUAAAUAAAUUAAUUUCAAUAACAAAAAUACCUGAAGUUGAAGUCUCUACUCCAUUCUUCUUAUCUUCUAGGUACUUUGGGCAGUUUCUUAUCCAGUGUCCGGUCUUACGGAAAUGGAAGCAUGUGCCUUCCUUUGCUAUGCCUCCACUAGGCUUCAAAGCAGCAACAUUGGGUUUGAGUUUGGCAACUUCCUUGCCUUUCCCUUUAUCACCCUGCUUGGUGGGUCUUUUGUUCUGUCUCUUUCCAUUUCCGAUCAUCAAAAUGAACUUCCCUUUUGACUUCAUAUUCUGCUCAACAGUUCUUAACAUGGCUAGCAGUUCAGGAAAAGAUUUGUCCAUAUCAUUCAUAUUGAAAUUUAGGAAAAAUUGACUGAAUCUAUCUAGCAACGAUUGCAAGAUCAAAUUAGUCGCAAGUUCCUUUCUGAGGGGAAAACCCAACCUCUCAAGGUUUUCCACAUACCUAAUCAUCUUGAGCACAUGGGGACCUACAGGGGCUCCCUCAGCUAACUUUCCUUGAAAAAGGGCUUUUGAAACUUCAAACCUUUCAUGCCUUGCUUGCUCUUGAUAGAGCAUCUUCAGGUGUUCGAUCAUAUCGAACGCUGCCAUGUUCUCAUGUUGCUUUUGCAACUCUGAGUUCAUGGUAGCUAGCAUGAGACAAGCAAUUUCAUUGGCAUCAUCGACAUGCUUCUUAUAAACAUCUCUUUCCGCCUUAGGUGCAGAACUAGGAGGUUCCUCUUCAGGAACAAGUUUCUCCAAGACAUACAACUUUCUAUCAUGUUUGAGGGUAAUCCUCAGAUUUCGGUGUCAAUCAAGAAAAUUUGUCCCAGACAAUUUUUCCUUGUCAAGGAUUGAUCGCAAAAUGUUGUUAGAGGUGUUUGUUGUAAUGGUAAUCUACAUGAAAAUAAUGAAAAUAUAAGUAUCAAUAACAUAUUUAAUUAGGCCUUUAAUUAAAUAUGCUCCCACUAUUUUACUCAAAACAAAUGACCCUCACCAUUUGAUUCGAAAAAUCCCUUUGGAAGAUUUUCUAGUGGGUCGAGAUCCACAUUUCACUCUGUUUUAAGUCCGCGUAGGCAAAUUACACAAAACUAGGUUAUUUAGGUAGGAACUCCUUCCAAUUGUAUCUAAUACAACUCUCGAAUAUUUUAGUUGGGUGAAUAACUCCUUAUUUCAAUCCAUCACAUGGAUCAUUCCCAACUCUUGCUUCUAAACAUAUAUAAUCUUAUUAUAAUUUGUUUAGUUAAGUUUUACCCAUUGUUUUAGCAAUUGGAUAUUACAAUUAUCCCAUCGCACCUUACUAAUAUAGAACAUGCACCUCGCGUAGGCGAAACCUACAUUAUCCGAUACUAGUCUUGAUGAGUGCUAAAACUUGGAAAGCAUAAACUUAAUAUUUAAUUAGAGGGAAUUUGCAAUUAUUCUGAUCUCACCGGCUUAUUUAUCAUAUAAAUCGUAUCUCACAUGCAUCAACAUACAUUCACAUACAUCAACAUACAUAAUUAAACAGUUAUGGCCCCUAGUGCAAUUGUUCUCCCAAAGCAAUGAGAGAACCUAAGCUAACCUAAUAACGAUCUAAGCUUCUCCAAGCAAGAUCUUCAAGGUUGUCCUCAUUUGAUAUUAAAUUCUUCUCUUUCUUCAUAACAUUACAUUACAUAAAAGAAACUUGUUUUACAUACGAGGGAGUGAGAUGAGAAAAGAAGUUACAUUAUGAGAGUAAAAGAGAGGCACGACACGCAUGUCGUAUUUUAAAAACCCAAAACAAAAUAAAGGAAAACUAAGGCCAUAACCGAUCACUGCAAGACAAUAAUAAUAAAUACAUUAUUAUUAUUAAUUUUAAUUCUUUUAAUUAAUUAAAACCAGAUUAAACUUCGGCGACCGAUCACACCACGCAGAGUUAGCUGGGGGUCCGUUACCCGGUUAGCGGGACGGGGUUUCCGCUGACCGAUCAACAAACGGUGGUUCCCCUGACCGAUCAGCGGACGGGGGUCAAGGGGGCAGUGCCCCUGGCCAAAUUUUUUAAUGGACAAUUCAUUUGAAAUCGACGUCGUUUUUCGCAUAAACACUUGAUACUUUAAAGCACAACUCUUGCGCAGUCACAACCCUAAUCACAUAACUCUUUGACAACACAACCCUUGUGCCGUCAUUAACCCUAAUGCACCAAUUUCAGACCUCCAAACACACCUCGAUUGUUAAUUCAGUAUGAUUGAUCAACACGUCAUUGCUUCACCAUACUAAUGUCGGAUCAAGAAGCAAACGACCUAACUAGCGAGUUUCCUUUUGUUGGUAAUUCACAAACUUAGAACGAAACAGAAACAAUAUAUCAUAUAUACCGUAUUUUGCAUCAGGAUUACUUAUAUCAUAUAUAUAACUUGAUCGAUCUCAAUUGUAUAACCUAUGGACGAUCGAGGUAUCACUGCUUCACCAUACUAAUGUCGGAUUCCGAAGCAUAGUCAAUAUCAAUCAUCCAAAUCGUACAUACAUGAUGCCAAAUUUAAUUACUCGUUUAUUCUUUGAUUCAUUAUGUCUUUUAAUCGUAUUAAUACAGAAAAUACAGAAAAUAAACAGCUCUCAUAUGCAUGGUUUCGUAACCAGGCUCUGAUACCACUGAAGGAGAAGAGCGAUCCAAAACACAGCGAAAUUUAAAAUUUCUCCUUUAGUGAUCCUUACGAAUGAGCAUGAUUAGUGAUAUAAUCGUUACCUCUUAUGGAGAUUGUAACCUUUGAUGCAGAUCUACGGAGCGAUCACGAACGUUGAACGAUGACAACGCCUCUACUCAGUCCACACGAAUGGAUUCCUUCAAUCUCAGUGUUAGCUGCUACGAAUGAAGGCGUUGAAUGAGAGAUAAAGAGAGAAACGAAAUUGCAACUGCACAGAUGCUUCUACACAAGGGUUCUAUUUAUAGAACCACUUGUGUGGGUUGCAAGCUAAAAAGCCCACUCAAGUGUAUGUGGCCCAUAUCUUAUAAUAUGCCAAAAUCAUUUAAGCGCGUGAUACCUUACCAUAUUUCGUAUUCUACUUAAGUACACCGUACCUUACGAUGUUCUACACUUCACUUUAGUGCACCGUACAUUACAGUAUUCCUUAGUUACUCUAUCUCUCAUCAAUCCGCCCUUUUGUGUGUGACACUGUAGGUUUUCGCGGCAUUGGCAAUUAUAUUAAAUCACAUAUUAAACAUAAUAAAUAGUGAGCGGUAUCUAGCAACACAUCACGGCUACCCAAGACACAAAAAUAUCAUGUGAUAUGACAAAUCCUUUUGUGAUAAUACUUAUGUGUACAAUUACCCUUUUGCCCUUAUGUCUAUAUUGAACACAAGACAUAAACCGUGUCAUCCUUGUCCAGUUCAAUAUUGGGCCCAUAGACAUUUAUCCUGUUACGCAGGAUGGGCAAAUUCCAUCUAGGUCACUCAUGUCCCUUAGCAUGCUUCGUGGAUUAACCAUCAACUGUCUUUAUUGUCAUCCAGUUACGAACAAUGUUUGAUCAACAAUAAGGCACUCGACUAUACAUCUAGGGUCCAUAGUGGUUUCAGGCCGAAGGGUGGUAUACACCAUUAUCACCAUGAGAAUAACUUAUGACACUUUACAUAGCAUUCUAUAUAGUACUCUCAUAGCGGAUCAAUCCAGUAUAAAUAUUACUCUGAAUAUUCAUACCUAUGUUUAAGACUUGAUAACUCCUUAUCCAUGAUCCAUGAGAUGUGAUCACCAGUCUAUAUACAUAAUAGUCUUAAUGCUUUAAUGUUAUCCCACUUCACAAUAAAGCUCGACUAUGGAUACUUUAAGAAUAAUGUCCUUAUGUUUAAUGUGAUCUCAUGAUUAAGUCACACUUGAUAUAUUAAACGGACUAUCUAUUCUAGGGACUUUAUUAGACAAACAUAAUAAAGAAAAAGCCUUUUAUUAUUAAUAAAUAAUUCGAUACAAGUACCAAAAGUAUUGGCCUCUAGGGCUUACACCAACACUUACCUUAUUUAUGCUUCGUAACAACGGUAAAUACAUAAUAUUUACCGUAUUACCAGUACUUUUGGGAAAUAAAAAAUUAUAAAAUAAAAUCAUAAUAUAACACCGAGCUUUAAUUAUUUUUUCAUACUCGGUAGAUUCUUCGGUCAAUGUUAUACUCGCAUAAUAUUGUUUGAUAUAUCUUAAAUUAAUACCUUGCCCCCUAGCUUGACCAGAUGUCUCUCCCGCAACUUGGUCAUCACACAAAGGGGCACCCAACAAUUCAUUGCAAAUAGAGUUAUCCUGGUUAACUCUACCAUUUACAACCUUACCAUCGAUAUGUAUACCCAACAAUAUGUAAACGUCAUCAACUGUUACAGUACACUCACCAAAAGGAAGGUGCAAUGUGUGAGUCUCGGGUCUCCAUCUCUCUAACAAAACAAGAAUAAAUUUUUAGUCAACCGAAUAUGAGACUAUGUUGAGGAGAUUACCAAAACCGCAUCCUCGAAUAUAUGAUUCUAUCAAAGGAUCGUAGGGUACAUAUUCAUGUACACGACAUCGAAAUCAUUUUGGGUCCUAGUAAAACAUAAGUAAGAAAUAAAAUAAGAAGAAGUGAUAUACAAUAAAACAUAAAUAAGAAAUAAAUAAGGAAUAAGUAAGAAGUAAUAACAUACAAAUGUCGAGAUAUUUUCGAUUGUUCCUCAAUGUUCAUCACCCAUAGUCAAUAGAGACAUAAUGCUGCAGAUGUUGAAUGUUACAGAGGUUGAGUAUGGUAAAGGUGGAGUGUUGCAGAGGUUGAUUGUUAGUGUUGCAGAGUGUUAUGAGUUGAUGCCCUAUUUAUAGAUGAGUAAGUGUUGCAGAGGUUAAAUAGGUACGUAUCAUGUGAAGCAUGGGAUAUGGGGCAUGCAUGUGACAUAGGUGUAGGCGCCUAAGGCUAGGAUCACAAUGAAGGCACGCCGAUGGGACAAUACAGAGUGGAACUAGAUAGAGGUUGGUGCAAUUGCGGAAAGUUCUAAGCCUUUCUUACGCCUUGCUCCCAUGUCAUUGCGGCAUAUUCAAAGGUUCGAAGGGAUCCAUCCUACUUACUAUCUGAUGUUUACAAAGUCAUAAGCCUAUCCAAUGUUUACAAAAUUCGUUUUUCAGUUGUUGCAAAAGAGGAUUACCGACUAGAAUAUCAAGGGGACAUUCUCUAGCACAAUGAAGUUAUGCGAAUAAAGAAAAAGGGUCGCCCAAGCAACACCCGUAUUCGAACCGAAAUGGAUAUGGCAAACAAAAUGGUUUGAUUAUGUAGUUCAUGUCGUCGGCCAGGUCACAAUCGUACUAACUGUCCUAGUGUUGGAACGAGCACAACAAGAUAAUUUUACAUGUACCUCUUUUGCAAUAUAUAAAAAACAAAAUUUAGUUCAUAUGAUAACUUUGUGAGGAAAUACCAUCACAAACAAAUACAACACAUUCAACACCCAAGCAACACAUAAACAACAACACAAACAACUACAACAAUUAAAAUACCAUUUCUAUAACUAAGCGAUUACAACCAUCAAGAUAAUUUUGAACAUAUUAUGCAUCAUCCUGCGAACGUCUUUGUCAGUCUUAAUAUCCACCAAUUCACGCACUUCUCCAUUUUGGUUGAACGUGGGGCUCAAGCCAUUGAAUCCUUCUAAUCCUUUCAUCAUCCGCAAUUUCUCCUUCUAAUCAACGGCUCAACGUCCGAUUAAGACGUUCAAACGAAUAUAUAUUCCAAAGUCGAAUCUUUAUCGGAGGUGUGACUGCUGAAAAAAUUAAAUCAACAUUUCUCUUGUGAAUGUAUUCAGACAUGGUUAAAGAACAAAAAAUUGAAGUAAAAUGAGGGAGAUUGAAGUAGAAUGAAAGAAAAUGGGGUUGGAUGGUAAGAAGUAGUGUGCAAAAAUAUGGGAGAUGCGGAUGUUAUUUAUAGAUGAACCAUGAAAUGCAUGCGCUAAAGCCCUAGGCCCACACACACAAGCACAUGCAUAUGCCAGAUGCAUGGACGCAUUUACUAAACCACACAUGCAUGCGCCAACUACCAUGGCGCCUACAUGCAUAGGGAGCAUGCGCUAAUGGAGCUGACGCCUCCUUUGAAAAUUUAUUGGAUGCGUCAGUUCAACUGAUGCAUCAGUUAAAGAAAUUGGUUAUUUUGAUAAUUAUUUUGAAAAACUGAUUAUUUUAGUAUUUAAAUUGAAAAAUAUGGUUAUUUUUAAAAAAAAUCAAAUAGUUGGACCUUUUCUACUUUUGCUUUUGGGCUAUAAUAGACUAAUGAGAUUACUAUCAUGAAAAACAAAAUAAAUAUUUAUAGAUUUCGAAAAUAUACUUUCUGACGAAUUUAAAAUAUAUAAUAAAUUUCACAUGUAAUUAUACAUGUGGUUCACUUACACAUAUAUUUGAUAUAUAUUUUGAAUGCGUUUGAAAAUACAUUUUCAAAAUUUUAAGAAUACUUUUUAAUUUUUAUAUGAUAUUUUUCCACCCUUAAAAUAAAAUUAAUAAUUUUUAUUCUUUUAUAAAGUAUUUUUCCACUCCUUAGAAUAAAAUUAAAAAUUUAUAAAUUUUUUUAAAAAUAUAAUAAAUAUUAGAUAUUUUUAUAACCUUUUAAUUGUUUGAUCUGCAAAAUUUAUUGCUGAGUUAUAGAAAAAAUUCUGCAACAAAUAUGUUACUUGCGUAUUUUAGAAUAAAUGUAUUUUUAGUGAAUUUUAAAAAAAUUAAUACUAUUUUUAAGAGAAAGAUAGUUGGGGUUGCUAAAUUUACCCUAUAUAUUUCUUCAAAAUCUUAUGAAAAUUCAAUAAUUUGCCUUGUUUAUUAAUUAACUUUCAAUCGCACCAUGAAAAUUUUCUCAACAAAUUAUACAAAAUUUGCUGAUAUUUAACAUUUCCUACCGUUAUGCAUGUGAUUUUUUCUACAGGAAACAAUAUUCAAAUGUUAACUUUAAGACAAACCUUUUUAGUCAUUUUUAUAGAAAUUAUAUAACUAAUGUGAAAAAUUAACUUUCGGACAAGAAUAAUAUUUUCGAAUAUCUAUCGAGUUUGAGAGAAAUCUAACGUCAAAUAAUUUUAUUUGAUUUAAUUAAAAAAACAUUUUUUUAUAUAAAAUUUUAAAGAGUUCUCUUAAUAUAAAACUUUAAAGAGCUCUCUUAUUGAUAUUUCAGUUAUAUAUUUGAGUAAAAUAAAUUACAAUAAAAUUAUUCGACCAUAUGCGAUGUGUCUCUGUCUUCCAUUCUUCAUUUCUUUUCUUGUCGGGGUGUUUAUUCCAAGUUCUAUAAAUUUGUUUAUGGCAUUAACUUUCCUAAAAUAAAAGAAAAAGAGUUUUAUUCUUAAAUAUGUUUUUAUAGAAAUGUUUAAUUAACAUUCAUAAUAUUCUCAAAAGUUAUCUCAUAAGAUUUAUCAAUAGGUUUUACACAUGAAUUUAUUUCCAUCUCCCUCGAAAAAAUUGUUCCAAAAAAUAUAUGUUAGUGUAAAAGUCUAUGAAAAUGCAUGUCUACACCAGACUUUAAGUCAAUGUGAAAAUAUGAAAAUGUAUUGUGAAAAUGUAUCAUGAAUAUUGAAUAUUAAAUUAUUCCAAAGACGUAUCUCCGAAUUAAAUUUUAAAAAAUAUAUUGAAUGUGAUUCAAUUUUAAUAUUUUGAUUGAAGACAAAUAUGCAAUCGAAGAUGUAUUAUCAAAAUUUAAGGGAUAAUUUUAAAUUUUCACAUGUAUUUUCACUAUAUAGAAUGAAAUAAAAAAUCCCUUAAAUAUAAUAUUGCCUUCAACUUGAAUAUUCGUAUCGUUCAUCGUGAUCACUAUUAUAGUUAAAUAAUAAAUAUACGAAUAUCCAAGUUUUUUUUACCAUCUAAAUAUUUUUCUAAUUAUUUUAAUUUUAUAAAAGUUUUUUGACAAUUUUGAAAAUGUCUUUGAAGUUUAAAAUAUGCUAUCUAUUUUUUAAUUGUUUGAAUUUUAAAAUUUUAAAAUUGUCAAUAUACACUAUGAUGAAAAAAAAUCAAAUUUAAUUGAAGUAUGUAAAAACUGUUAUGGAUAUAUAUGAAAUAUAUUGGAGUUUGAUUCGAAGGAAAUAUUCUCUUCGAUUGUUCAAAAUUAUAUGCACACAUUUUUAGAAUAUGUAAACAAUACUACUAUAUUGAAAUUGAUGAAGGAGAAAAUAAUAAAGACCUGGACUAACCAGAUAAUGCAUUGAAUGGACUUCACAUUCACUAAAAGAUAUAUCUCUUUUCAUAAAUUGGAAAGUUUUUUAGGUGCAUUAAAAUGAUAUUAUAAUUAUUUUGUGUAUAUAAAAAUUUGACUUUUUUCCUCUUCUUUUGUUACUAGUGAAUUUAAAGUUGUCCAGUCCAAACAUGUAUUUUACAAGUUCAGAGUGUAGAAUAUGAAAUAUAACGAAAGAGAUGUAACCUCGGCUUUCAAGACGACAAAACGAAAGACGUCAUGAACAAGAACAUCGACAAAAAUAACAUCAAUAACAACAACAAAAAUUUUAGGAUUUUGGAUCUCACCACCACCAUCACUACCACAACAACAAUAACAACAACAAUAACAACAAGAACAAUAUGACAACAAUAAUUGUAGUGAUGUUUGACGUAUCAAAUCUAUGAAGAAGAAGUAAAAGAAAAUGAUUUGGAUCUUUGAAGAAGAAAUGAGAACACUAAACACAUAAUAUCUUCGUAUUGAAGAUGAUAUGUGUUUAUGACUCUCGUUGCUUAGAGCUCUUCGUUAUGGUUUUGAUUGUGUUGUUUAGACAAAUGAAUAUGAAUACUACAAGCUAAAACUAUAUAUAUAUUAUAUAUAUAUAUAUAUAUAUAUAUAUCUCAGAGAAACAUAUUCAUCUCGGUUGGAAAGAAAAUCGAGGUGAAAAAAAAUAUACUUUUAAAUUAAAAAUAAAAUAUUCAAGAAUAUUCACCUCGGUUGAAAAGAAAACCAAGGUUAAAAAUAACGUACUUUUAAAUUAAAAAUAAAAUAUUCAAGAUGAAGAAGAUAAAAAUUAAGGUGAAAAAUAGCGUACUAUAUUUUAUCUAAUUAAGGUAAAACCGAGGUGAAAAGUACGCUACUUUUCACCUCAGUUUUCUUUCCAAGCAUAUUAUAUAAUGAGAUAAAAAUAUAAACUGAGAUUGAUGGGAUUUGAUGCAUGUACAUUUAAUAAAUUUAUCCCUCGAUUUUCCAAAUAACCGAUAUAGUAUAUUGUAAAUUUUUUUUAUAUAAAAAAAUAGGAUGCAUCAAGUAAUUAUAUCUCGAUUUUUCAAUACGUGAGAUGAAAUCGUCGUCAUAAAAUAUAUUAUUUAUAAUAGUGUUGCUAGCUAUAAUAUCAAGAUACAUAUAAAAGAAUAUUCUUGUCAAUUUGAUUUUCUAGAAAUAACUUCAACAUGUACACCUUCAAAUAAGGUUAAAAUGAAAGGUGUACAAAAUAUUAAUUGUUCUAGUCCGAAUGAUCAUACCACUAAGCGUUCACCUUCUUUAUUUGAGCAUGCCGACUCUUUUUAUCCAUAUACACAUGCUUCACAAUCGAAGUUAUCACACCUAAGACAAAAGAGUUUACAUCAUACUAAUUAGUCACCUAAUCUUUCUUUAGUGAGACAUAAUUCCCUAACCAAGAUGAAUUACUUUUGUCGAUGCUGUUUCUUGGCUACUUGGUCGGCCUUUUGAAUCCCGUUCCAUCAUUACAUAAAAGUUAAACAAUAUUUGUUAGGGUUACCUUAAGCUGUUUGGUUCAACAUGACGAUUUAAUAAGGUCAAACACACUAUAUAUUCCUUCAAGAGUCGACCAAACGUUUGAUGGUAACCAUAGUUAUAACUUCUGUUACAAAUAUAUUUGAAAAGUGACUAUUCAAUACCUCAUACAAGUCCAUUAUAGUAAAGACACCGUCAACUAAAAGCAUCAAACUAUUAGCUUAGCUAUCUUUUUAGAGUGAUUAGGUAUAACAAACUCAGUGAUUAUGAAGGUGAUGUCAAAGUUAAAGAUGAUAUUAAACCUAUAUAAUGUUAAAGACCUUGAGAAAAAUGAUGAUGAUGAUGCAAAAGUUGAAGACGAAGAUGAUACAAUAUAUAUAUAAUUUUUUUAUACCCAAAAGUUAAUUAAAAUCAAUAUGAAUAGAAAGUUCAAUUUACUCAUGUACACAUGAGACUUAUGUCAUCCAUUUUCACUUUAUAAAUUUUGGUGUACAAGAUGAAGAUGGAAGAAUAGAGAAUAACAAACUUUCACUACUCUGCUAAAACGGUUACAAUAAAAUGGUUGCACACGCUGCACAAUAAUACUCAAUGGAUACAAUUGUUGACAACUACAAUAUUAUAUAUACACAAAUAAUAAUGUCACGUAGAUGAAAUACUAAAAUACUGAAUUAUCCUUCAACACCAUCUCUUAAUUCAAGAUUUAACUAAUCAAAACUAAUAACACCAAUUCCAUCCCUCAAGUGGAGAAUGGUUAGUCUUGAUCACUUUCUUCAAGAUAUCUUCUCGAUGCUUCUGGGUGCUAUAAUGCAUAACUUCUAGCACUUAAUUCAGAAUCCGACUUCCCAGAAAAUGAUACUUAGUCUCAAUAUGCUUGCUUCUCCCAUGCAACACUGGGUUCUUGGCAAGAUUGAUUGCACACUUUUUAUCAAUCAUCGACUUUAGAGGCUUGUUUACCUUGAUCUUUAGAUCCUGUAGUAAAUUCAGAAGCCAAAUAGCUUGGCAUGCAACCACAACACCUCUAAUAUAUUCUGUUUCAUAGGUUGACAAAGCAACAAUUGGUUGCUUCUUGGAACACCAAGAAAUAGGACUUCCCAGAUACUUAAACAAAUAUCUAGAAGUAGUUAUUCUGUCAACUUUAUCUCCACACCAAUCAGAGCACGAGUAACACAUCAACUCUGAAUUAGUCUUUUCACCAGAGUGGAACAAAGCUCCAUAAUUAAGAGUUCCCUUUAUAUACCUAAGAACCCUGACAACAGCUCGGUAAUGAGACCACUUCGAUUUAUUCAUGAACCUACUAACCAUUCCAACUGCAUAGAAAAUGUCAGAUAUGGUAUUACACAAAUACCUUAGAGAGUCAACCAACUUCUUGAAAGUUGUGGCAUCUACAUCAUCACCUUCAGAAUCAGAAUCUAAUUUCUGAUUUGUUUGUGCAGGUGCGACAACAACCUUACAAUUCAACAACUCGAGUCACUUCAGAAGCUCAAGUUCAUAUUUCAGCUGAUGCAAAAUGAUACCCUUGUCAGAGUACAUAAACUCCAUCCCUAGGAAAUAUGCCAUCUUUCCUAGAUCAGUUAUCUCAAACUCAUUCAUCAACACCUUCUUGAACUUAUAUCUAUGUCAUAUUCACAACUCCCUGUUAGCAAUAUGUCAUCAACAUAGAGACAAUACCAAAAUCAUAUUGCCUUCAGAAAUAUGCUGAACAUAAAAGCCAUACUCCAUCUCACACUUUUUGAAUCCUUGGAGCUUGAAAAAAUGAAUUAGUUCUUAGAUUCCAAGCUCGAGGAGCUUGUUUAAGUCCAUACAAAGAUUUAUGGAACUUGUACACCAUCCUUUCCUGAUUCUUUUUCUCAAAUCCAAGAGGUUGUGACACGUAUACCUCUUAUUGCAAUGGACCAUUCAGAAAUGCAGAUUUCACAUCUAGAUGCAUUAGAGGCAAAUUCUUAUUAGCAGCUAUCGCAAUCACCAGUUUAAUUGUCUCAUGUCUUCCUACAUGAGCAAACACUUCAAAGUAAUCUAGCCAAGGUUUAUGUAGAAAUCCUUUUGCUACUAACCUUGCUUUGUAUUUGUCAAUUGAUCCAUCUGGCUUCAGUUUCUCCUUGAAAAUCCAUAUGAAGCUGAUGGCUUUCUAGUCCUUUGGAAGCUCAGUUAACUUUCAAAUCUUAUUUCUUUCUAUAGCCUCAAGUUCUUCUUUCAUGGCCUUCAGCCACACUUUCUUAUUGAGCACUUUUUCUGUACUCACUGGUUCAGAGUCUACUAACAUGGCACACUGAAUGACUUCUCCUUCAGAGUCUAAUUCAAUAUCUUGCACCAUGUUAAAUUAUGAAAAUCGUCUUGGCAUUUGUCUAAUUCUUUGUGGCCUCUGAACUUGUUCAGAAUCUUCUUCAGACGAUGGAACAAUAUCCUGGAACCCCAAAAGUACCACCUUCAGAGUCUAGUCCCAGAGUCUAGAUCUCCACCAGAGUCUGAAUCACCAUCAAAAUCUAGAUCAGAAUCAGAUUCACCUUCAGAGUCAGACUUGCCUUCAGAGUCAGAAUCACCUUCAGAAUCAUUUUAUGAUUCUGACUCAUCUUCAGAACCUUCAGAUUUUGAAUUAUCUUCAGAGGUUAACUAUACACCAGUUGGAUUGAGAUUUACUCCAAUCCCACACUUAUGAUUCCUUCACAAUGACAUAUGUGCUGAAUUUAACCUUGUUAGUGACAGGACAGUAAAACUUAUAAGCAAAUGUACUGUGGUACCCUACAAGCAACAUAACUUUACUUAUGUCAUCCAACUUCCUUCUCUUAGCAUCUGAAACAUGUUUGCAACAAACAUAACCAAACACCUUAAAAUGGAUCACACUUUUCUUAUCUCCAAUCCAUUUCUCCAAAGAAACAAUAAUCUUCAGCUUAUUAGUUGGACAUCUGUUGAGCACAUAUGUUGCAGUGGAAACAACUUCUCCCCAUAAGGUGUGAGGCAGCUUCUCCUCGUUCAAUAUGCUCCUUGUCAUAUGAAGCAACAUUCAGUUUCUUCUUUCAGCAAGACCAUUUUGUUGAGGAGUACAUGUAGCAGUCACCUCAUGCUCAAUUCCAUUCUCCUCACAUAACUUUCUGAACUCUGUAGAGUUAUACUCGCUUCCACCACCAGUUUUGAGAAUUUUCAGCUUCUGACCACUCUGAUUCUCUGCCUUGAUUCUGAAUUUCUUAAAUUCAGCAAACACUUCGUUUUUGAACUGUAUAAGGGUGACCCAUAUCAUUCUUGUGAAAUCAUCAACAAAUGACACAAAGUAUUUAUUCCCUCCAAGUGAAGGUACUGGAAAUGGUCCACACACAUUAGAAUGCAUCACACCCAGAUCAUGCUUUGCUCUUGAAGACAUUUAAGAUGCAAAUGGCAGUCUUACUUGCUUUCCUCUCAUGAACACAUUGCAUGACUUCUAUGGCUUCUUAAUUUCAGGAAUUCCAUGUACCGAAUUCUUUGAAUUCAUACGCCCUAAGCUUCUGAAGUUCAAAUGACCAAAUCUUUUGUGCAAUAACUCACUUUCCUUCAUAACACUUGUUGCACUAAGGCAUUCAGAUUCUGCAGUUUUAACAUUCACUUUGAAUGUUCUAUUCCUCCCCUGUCCUGACUUCAUAAUCAACUUAUGAUUACAAUCAUACAUCUUCGAAAUAUUUUCCUUCAUGAUAACUGAAAAACCUUUCUCAAUUAAUUGACCUACACUCAUCAAAUUGCUUUUCAUGCCAGAAACAUACCACACAUUCUGAAUCAAUGCUGAUAUACCAUUAUUCAGAACUACUCUGAUAUUUCCUAUACCUUCAACAUUGAGGUAUUUAUCAUCAUCACAUCUGAUCUUUGUCCUCUUACUAGAGUCAAAGUCAACCAACCAUUUCUUAUUUCCUGUAAGAUGAUUUGAUCAACCAGUGUCCAUAUACCACCAGUCUUCCAAAUACGCAUCAUCGAAUUCAGAAGCCAUCAAUAACAAAAAUUCAUCAUAAAAAUCUCUUUUGACUAUGUUUUCUUCUUCUGACUUCCUUUCCUUAUUUGACCAACAAUCAGCAACAAAGUGGUCAAACUUAUUACAACAAUAGCAUUGAACCUUCCUUUUUUCAUAAUUCUCCUUCCUCUUCUGAGCACUCUUCUACCUUUCAGAAGUUGAGGUUUCUAACUUCUGAACACCAUCAUAUCCCUUCAUGGCUUCAGACCAAGGCUACUUCUGAUAUUUCUUACCAGAAGCUGCUUUUAGAACCUGCUGCUCUACCUCCAUUUUAGAGUUUCUCUCAGUCAGACGUAACUCUCGUGCCUCUAGACUGCUUUGCAACUCUUCUAUUCUCAUGGUGCUAAGAUCCUUAUAAUAUUCAAUUGCUACCACAAUGUAAUCAAACUGAUAAGUAGGAGACCUAAGUACCUUCUCAAUGAUACUUUCUUCAGAGAGAGUUUCUCCAUAUUACUUCAUCUUAUUUGUGAUCAGAAUCAUUCUGGAGAUGUAGUAAAGUACCUUUUCAUUGUUCUUCAUGCUGAGAUUCUCAUACUGCUUACAUAGAGACUAAAGCUUUACCUUCUUCACUGAUGCAUCACCGCCGUAGCACUGUACUAGUGUGUCCCACGUAGCCUCCGUCAUCGUUGAAUCAACGAUUUUCUCAAACACGUUCACAUCCAUACACUAAUGGAUGUAGAACAACGCCUUAUAAUCCGUCUUCCUCAGAUCAUGCUGAGCAUUCCUAUGUGUAUUCGUUUCAUUUUCUGGAAGUGCAACCGGAACGUAACCGUCGUUGACGAGAUUAAGAACAUCUUAAGUGCCAAACAACCACACAUCAGAAUCAUCCAACGACUCCAUUUCUUGCCAUUGAACACUAGAAGCUUAGUGCUCAAAUUACAGUUUCUGUUCAUCUUCAAUCUUGUGCAAAUCACUCAGAUCUCACCAAACACUAGUGUUUCCAAUCCCGCAGAAUCAAGAAAUGUGAUUCUGUUAUGAAUCCAAUCACAAGUUCAACACGAACUCAAGAAGAGAAAUCAAUCACACAACGCCUUAUCGUUCACUCGUGUUUCCUUGUGUUUCCCUAUGGAUAUGAACCGAAACUCUAGAUACCAAUUGUUGAUGCACAAGAUGAAGAAGAUGAAGAUGGAAGAAGAGAGAAUAACAAACUUCCACUACUCUGCUAAAAUGGUUACAACAAAAUGGUUGCACACACACUGCACUACAAUACUCAGUGGAUACAACUGUUGACAUCUACAAUAAUAUAUAUAUAUAUAUAAUAAUGCCACAUAAACAAAAUACUAAAAUACUGAAUUACCCUUCAAUAAUAAAUAUGUUUAAUAUAUAACUUUUGUCUCGUAUGUUUAUCUCAUGAUUUAUUUUGGUCUUUUAACUUAAAAAAGUUCAUAUUGAUCAUUUAACUCUUAAAACGUACUAUGUUAAUCUUUUUUCAUCUAACUUGCGACAUUAACAAUCAAUUUUAGCGUUUUUUCGUUGCUAAUUGAUAAAAAAGACUAACAUAAUAAAUUUUAAAGAGUUAAAUGACCAAUAUAAAUAUAUUUUUAAUUAAAAGAUCAAAAUCAACUCCAAAAUUAACAUACGAGACCAAAAAAGUGUUAAACCUUAUAAAUAAAUAUUUAAUCCAAUAUAUACCUUCCUACAAAUCUAUACAAAGUUAAAUAAAAGUAUAUAUAAAAACAAUAUCAUUGUAAUUUUAUCUUAAUACAAAACUAUUUAUAACCACGUACAUUCAAUAAAAUAAUAUUAUAACCACCUACGUUUAAUCAAGUAAUUUUAUCGUAAUAUGUCUCAAAUUGUUUGUGACCAUCUGAAAAGACUUUCCAUUUGUUUGAUUUCUUUGGUGUCUGAUUGAUUAAUCUGAAAAAGUAAUUUAGACGAUAUAUAUACUAUUCAGGAUGUUUAUAACUGACUCAACAAAUUAAAAUUUGUUCACAAUACGACAAACAAUAACUCUUGGAAGUGGGUGUGGCUCAUACGAGAUCAAUGUUGUGACAUCAUGGUAUGGUCCAGACGAAUCUCUAUCCUAGAUGCAAUCAGGACACUGAGACGACUCUACACUGAUUGAGAGAUUGUGAAUUUGCUACUCGCUUUUGGAAAUCUAUUGACUUCUUGGACCCACUAUUCUUCCAAGUUGAGUAUUUUAUAUGAUUGGAUUAGACAUGUAUCCGAUGAUGGCUCUAUCUUUUUGUCUGCUUGCUGGUGGUUGUGGCACGCUAGGAACAAAUUGUAUCUUGCAAAUGAAGUUGUAUCUUCCUAUACUUUAAAACUCAUCAUAGUGAAUUAUGCUAAUCUUUUAGCUAAAUGUUUUCUCAAGCAUAAUAUGUCUCGUCCAACAAGAACAAUCACGUGGAGUGCACACACAGGUAGUAAUAUAAUUUUGAAUGUUGAUGGCAGUAGCUUCGGUAAUCCCGACGUCUCAGAAUUUGGUUGAUUGAUUCUAAAUAUUGAUGAUGUCUGAGUUCACGGUUUUGCGGAUAAUAUUUGGUUAUUCCAACAUCCUUCAUGCUGAUCUGAUUGGGUUACAUCAUAGUCUGUAUAUGGUCUUGGAACCUAGCAUAAAAAAGAACUGAUGUGUUAUUCUAACUCCAACUCUACUAUCAAACUUAUCUCAGAUUCUGUUAAUACUUGACUUCACUAUGUCGCAAUUCUUCACAACAUUAAGGUGUUCCUCUUUAGGGAAUGACGAGUUAAAAUACUUUAUACUUUUAAAAAGAUGAAUACGUAUGUCGACUAUCUAACAAAACAUGAAACUGAUAAUUAUGUGACAUACCCGUUUUUUUGCGAAAUCUCUAGUUGGAAUCAUCACUCUCCAACUAAGUGAUAUUAUUGAUAAUUUCACUUUUUUUUUUCUUUUUCUUUUUCCACUUGUACCCAAAAAAAAAUAUCAUAUCAUUUUUUAAAAUUAAUUUUUAGCAUUUCUAUUAAUUAACAUUAAUCUUAAAAAUUAAAAAUAUAUAUGAUUUUAGAAUGAUAUAUUUUUUUUCAAAUAGAUCCAUUAUUGCUAGAAUGGUGGAGUAUGUUAAAUAUCUACUAAACAAAAAUCAAAACAUAACGACAUUGCCGUCUUAGAUAAUCUUCCAUAGUUACUAUUAGUUGAGAUAUUUACAAUGACAUCAAAUGUAACAUUCUCAUUUCUUGGAAAAUCCGUCUGUAAAUGCCUCCUAUAUAAGACUACAGUUUGUAGUGUUAUAACUUCAUACCAUAAUGAGAAUUAAAUUUUCAUUUUGUUAUUGUGCGACUCAUUUUCCUCAUGAAAAAGUUAAUUCAAAACCAUGCAUUAUCAAAGAUAUGAAACAAGCUAGCUUACUAAGAAAGAACAAAAGCCAUAACAAGAAAAGAGAGUUCAAAUUAUUCACAUUAGAGGAGUGGCUUCUUAGUUCACCAAUUAUGCAAAAUGAUAGUAACUUUGUUGGUCAAAAUUUGGUUAGAAAAAAUGGUUAUUUUUCUGAUGAUGGAUUAUAUAGUUUGUCUUUGGAGCAACUCUUGGUUAUGGAUGGUGUUGAUGAUGAUUUUACUAUUUUGUCCUCAGAGUUUCACAGUUUCACUUCAAAAAAACUUUUGAAAAGUGAAACUAUUGAUGCAAAAGAAAUGAGGUUAUUAAAGUCAUUGAGUAGAAACCAAAGUAGUAAGGUGAAGAAAAGUGUUAGCUUUAGAUUACCAGAAGUUUCUGAGGUUAUCAUUUUGUAUCCAUCAUAGGUGAGUUUUGGUACAUUAAUCAGUUUCUUUCUUCUAAAUUUUGUAUACACUGAUUUUUGUACAAUUGAUUUGAUGAGGACAAAAAAGGACAAUGAGAUGUAGAAAUUGCAUAAAGUUUUAAGAGACUUAUUUUCAAUUACAAUUUUUUCGGUAGCAAUUAUAGAAAGUUCAUGAUAUUUUUCAGUUAUAUUUGAAGGUUAGUUAUACAAAUUUAUGGUUUUUGUGCCCGAGAAAUAUAAUCUAGAGUUUCUUCUUUAGAAGAAACUAAAGAUUUGUCGAGUAUUUCUUUUAAUAGAAUGUGUGAAUGAGAUAAAUAAUAAAAAGCAUUAUGGAGAUGUGAAAGUGUUUGCUACACGAAAAAUAUUUGUCAAAAAAUAAGGGGCAAAGGUUGCAAAUACUACGAUUUUUUAUUUAUUUAUUGUCAAACAUGUUUGUCGCAUCUUUGUACUUCUGGGAAAGUACCACCAACACCUUCUAACUUUUUCGUGGAAUGGUGACACCCAUUCUUUUCGACAUAGUAACCAUCAGGGGCCUUCGUCCAUCUGUCGAAAACUUUGAUCCCAAUGAAAGUGAUGAGGACACCAUAAAUUUCAACACAAAAUGUGCCAACUUUGACAAACACAUCAAAGACUAUUAUGUCAUUAAUACUGACAAAGUAUCUCAUGAAGAACAUAUCGCUUUCUUUGCUUUGUGGUUGUCAAGAUGUAUUUUUUGCUACAAAUCCUUGAAGGUAGCAAAAAGAUACUUGACCUUAGCUAACCAAUCACACGAAGGUCGUGAUAUUUGUCUUAGCCAAUCAGUUUUAGGAUCCCUCUAUGAAUCCUUAGGGUUAGCCACUAAAACCCUAAAAAACCUCAAACCCAACGACAAACUGCUGUUGGCUGGACCAUAUUGGUUGCUCCAGCUUUGAAUGAAUACCAGGUUUGAACUCUCCUUAAUGUCGAGAAACCCAACGGUACUGGCGAAACCGUUAAGAAUAGGCGUUUUUGACUUAUUUCCUGAUGUUCGCCAAACGCCACAACGUCACUCCCACAGUGGCUCCUUUCGUCAAUAGAACUCAUGGGCCUGAGUGGUUCACAUUGAAGUUUAUUGCUACUGGCGAACAAGAGGCUGAAUCGAAGAAGGUAUGGGAAAUCUUCCUUACUCCAAAGCUUCUUUCGACCAGACUUGGGACCUCCAAAGAAAAUGUGAAGAUAUUAUGCUAUCAACCCAAUUUGGUGUCACACCAAUUUGGAGUUAGUCAGACUGUGCCAAGAACUUUUUCAAUCGAAAAAGUGAACCCUGUCUUUGCACUAUCGACUACUCAGAGGAUGAACACCUUCAACGUCUUGUUCGCCAUGCUGCUGACCGUGUUGUACUCACACUGUUUUCUUUUCAACCAACAUUCUAUUGCACUAAAGAAUUCGACACUUGGUGGAGAGCCUACCAUGCAAAAGAAUUUCUUGAAGUUACAACCUUAUCUCAGUAUUUAACAUAUGUUUUUUCUUUUCUGUAGAAAAAUUUCAUAAAAGGUAGAGACAAACACAUCGAAGAGAUCUAGGCUUUCCAAAAAUAUUUUGAAACUGCGUAUGACCCCAAUGACCUUAGUCCGACGAUCCGUGAAGCAGCCGUUACUCUUAAAUAAAAAUUGAUGGCGAAACUUCCCAACUUGAAAAUCCCUAAUUAUGUGAAGGAUAAGUACAUAUUUGCACUGAACUAUUAUUCUCUUAAGUUUCCUCCUUUUCCCACCAAUGGGAUGGCUUUGGCUUUUGCCUCUCCAUUUCCACGGUGGUUCAUUUGUGGGGAAGACAUAAAGCUGAUCAAGAACAAAAUCCGGAAAAAUGUUAAAUGAGUGACUCUGACUAAACAUGUCAUAUAUAGUUUCAAGGGACACCUUCAUGUCGACAUAAAUCAUGUCUGGAUUGAAACACCUAUACACGAAGGUGAAUAAGGUGAAUGAUCUCUCCACUUAACUCCUUAUUUAUCUCUUCCUUAUUUACUGUUAUCUUUCUAUGCUUUCAGCGGUCGAACACAUGAAAAGAACAAGAUAUGUUGUUAAUGCUUCUAUAGCUUUGAAGAAACCCAAAGUCAAAGAAACUCCAAUAAAAGACACAUAUGUUAGUUAUAAUAUCUGAAACUAAAUUUUGGAUUUGUUCGCCAUACUAAUCUUACUUGACCUUUAUACAAAUUUUUGUAAUUGUCCAGGUUUUCUAAUCUCCCUGCUAACCAUGAAAAGAGAUGACCCGCACCAUAAGUAAUAUGGGAAAUAAACCCGAAUAAUCACCGAAUGAUAUCCGCCUUGAAAAUCCAUUGAUUACAUCCAUUAUUACCGAACCUUUGGCCCACUUCCGAAUUAUGCAAAAUGUGAUGAAUGAAAUGCUAAAACGAAUGAUCUAAUAGACAAAUGUAUGCAAAUGAAUAAAACCAUAAACCAGGCGAAUUGAAUGAGGAAGUAAGGCAAAUUUUGGGGUAUGACAACUGCCCCUAUUUAAUCUUCUUAAACCCGAAGGUAUGAAUAACAACUUCUUUCAAGCAUUCGAGGUAGAAGAAGAUUAAAUACAAAGACCCAACUUUUUUUCCCUUUGAGGGUGGAGUGAUGUAAUGUAAGGAAGAUAAGUGUAUUGUUAGGAAUUUGUUUGUUGGGGAUACAGAAUGGUCAAUAUGCUUCUGUAGGUUUAUUUAUUAAGGAUUGACCGAACUACUAUGUUGGGGAAAUAAACCAGUUGAAAAAAUAAAUUUUUGAUAUGCAUGAUAUAUGCAAUGUAUGAUUGGUUUACAUGAUGCAUGAAGUUUAUGUAUGCUAUGCAACAAUGUGGGUUAUUAAGUGGAAGGAGUGGCUGGUAUUGACUGAGGUAAACUCUGGUUCCAAUUUGGUGUGGUGGUGAACUUUAAUCCUCUGACAUUCAAUAACUGAAUCAAGGAACUUGCAAGUUGAUUAAGAGAGUUUCAGGAUACCCCUGCCGUUGGAGGUUUCAAAUUGAUCCUUUCUGAAAGGGAUGUCAAAUAAAAAGAAGAUUGUCAUCAACUCGUUGAUUGGAAACGACACAAUUGUCGGAAUUAAAUCAUCAACAUGGAGGUUAGAAACAAAUCAUUAACGCUGAGGUUAGAAAAAGAUCGAGAACCCGAAGGUUGGAAAAAUGUCAACAACCAUGGAGGUUGGAAAAAGUUCAGCAACCUAAAGGUUUGAAAAGGGUCAAAAACCAUCGAAGUUAGACAGAUCGACAACCUGAAGGUUGGAAAAAGGUCAACAACCACGGUGAUUGGAGAAAUACCGAUAACUCGAAAGUUGGAAAGAGGUCAACAACCAUGGAGGUUGAAAAAAUAUCGACAAUCCGAAAGUUGAAAAAGGUCACAAACCAUGGAGGUUGGAAAAAGAUCGACAACUUGAAUGUUGGAAAAAGGUAAAAAAAAUCAUGGAGGUUGUAAAGAUCGACAACACGAAGGUUGGAAAAAGGUCAAAAACCAUGGAGGUUGGAAAAGAUCGAUAACCCGAAGGUUGGAAACAGAUCAACAAUCGGUAAUUAAAAAAAGAUCGACAACCCGAAGUUUGGAAAAAGAUCAACAACCAUGAAGGUUGAAAAGAUCGACAACCCGAAGGUUGGGAAAAGGUCAACAACCAUGGAGGUUGGAAAGAGGUUGACAACCCGAAGGUUAGAAAAAGGUCAACAACCAUGGAGGUUGGAAAAAGAUCGACGGCCCGAAAGAUUGGAAAGAGAUCAUCAACCAUGAAGGUUGGAAAUAAAGGCCAAAAACAUGAAGUUGAAAAUGAAUGACAAUAUUAUAGUGGUGAGACAACAAAAGAGAUAAUUGUCUACACAUUUUAACUGGGGAGUAUCCUGAACAAGGAUUCACUAGAGACGAACCUGCCAAGGAAAAGCUUCAAAUAGAAAACCCUCAGGGGAUGUGUUAUUUGGCAAAUUUCGAUCACGCCAAAGGGAGCAAUCAGAACAACAGAGAUGCAGUCGAAAGUGAUUCAACGGUCAGGUAGAACCUAAGCCAAGUCGAAGUGAAGUCGAUAGUGGGGGUUAUCUUAUCGAAGUCGAAGUGAAACGUGCCAUGAUGGAUACAAAUUGUUGGAAGCAGAACGUGAGAAGUUACUAGAGAUGUGGGUUGACAGGCCCCGACACGUGGCGUAUCAUGAAUGGAUCAUAACCUUCUAGCAGUUAUUUUUUAUUACUAUUUAAGUAUAUGUUAUUUUCAUUUCUGAAGGUGAUAUUUGUAACAUUGCAAUAGGAAAACACUUGAAGUAUCAAGCGUCCAAGAGAAAAGAGUUAACUUCCUAGAAAAUAUACACCUACUUCCACAUUUAUUUUCAAACCAUUUAACUUAUCAUGUUAUUUCAUUUGUUUUGCUCAUUUACAUCUUUAUCUUGCUUUUACCCUUUUUACUUUUACUGCACCUUUCAUUGCAAACAUUUACUUAUUGUUCUAUUGUUCCAAACACUUUAACAUCAAACGCACCAUAUACUCAACACAUAUUAGUCGUGGACUUUGUAGCCAGUCCUGCAAGUAAACCUCGAUAGGAAGGCUAGCGAUUAUUACAAACAAAUUGACACACUAGGUGGGACACAUUGUGUUCAGUAUAUGCAACUACAUAGUUGCAAAAUGGUGUCACCAUGUCCAAACGAAGAAACAUCUUCGGGAGGAGACACAAUUGCAUUGCAAGUGACCGAUAUUAGUUCCGACACUAUACUUGCGGUUUCGAUUGCAUAUAGUGGACUAAUUUUAAAACCACGUCAGCAUGAAACUCCAAGGCCUUCGAUGACGGGAACUUCAGGGAAAUACAUGCCCUGUUUUAUAGUCCCCAUGUAUAGAACAUUGGGAAUGCCAACUAAUUUUAUGGCAAGUAUGCAUAAUACUAGUUUGAAAUUUGGCGAAACACCAUCGCCGUCAUUCCCACUCUACCAGGAGUUAUGACCUUUGGAAAACCAAUUUUGUCGACCCCCAGGUCUAGGAUUGUCAUUUCAGUCGAUCCCAACUUUCACAUCAAGUUCUGCCGCAGUCAUGAGACAUCAAAUGAAUGAAAGCAAUCAAGAAAUGGUCCACACGCUGACUUAGUAAAUGGGUACUAUACUGAGACCUUUAAUUCAGGAUUCGACUCAGAGUUACCAACAACUGGAAACUCAGAUGACUCGAAUAGGGAAUUUCCUAGGGGUUCAUAGAGCGCAAGUUCGUCAGACUCCCACACCUCCACCUCGACCGGAAACCCCGGUCCGACAUGAGGAGAUGGCAUACAAAACGAUCAAACAAGAAUACCAGAAAGUAUAACCAAUACCUAGGGUGGACCUAAGGCCUCCUGUUGUAUUAUUUAAUACGAAACAGGAUCCCAACCAUGUAUAAGUAGAUUCAACAAGAGGCAAUGGCUAGGGAGAAAAACUUAGAAGCUAUUGUCGAACAAAUCAUAGUUCGAAACGGGAUAAACUCGGGCCUACAGAAGCCGACAUAUUCUUCUCCCUUACCAGAUUUUGUUUUACAAACAUAAUUACAUAGGAGGUGGAAGGUUCCAAAAUUCACCAAGUUCGUCGGAGACACCGAAGAGUCUACCGUCUAACAUGUUGCCAGAUAUCAAACUGAAGUUGGAGACAUAGCAAAUAAUAAGGAUUUGAAGUUGAAAUACUUUCCAAGUUCUCUUUUAAAAAAUGAGUUCACGUGGCUCACAAUGCUACCUCCAUAAUUCGUCCAAACAUGGACGCAAUUAGAGAGGUUGUUCCAUGAACAGUUUUACAUGGGACAGUAAAAAAUAAGUCUAAAAGAACUAGCCAGCAUCAAGUGAAAGACUGCUGAGUCAAUCGAUCAGUACCCCAACAAGUUUAGACUUUUGAAGGCUAGAUGCUUUACUAAAGUCCAUGAGCAUGAAUUAGUCGAAAUAGAUGCAGGUGGUUUAGAUUAUUCUAUCAGAAAGAAGUUAGAUGCACAGUAUUGGAGGGAUAUGGCACAAUUAGAUGAUAGGGUUCGACACAUCGAAUACUUGAAAGCCGAAAAUACCAAAACUGGUCGAUACCAUAAGAAAGAGAAAGUGUUUUAUAUAGCAGUUGAUAAAUACUCUUCUGAUGAUGAAGAGUUUGUCAACGAAAGCGAGGUCAACGUGGUUGAACUCAAGCAUGAACCUCCUUACACAUGUAAAGUUUUAAAACCAUAAAACGGGAAAAGUACUGUCGAAGUAGAAAAAAAUGGACAAAUACGUUGCUAAAACUUACACGUUUGAUGUGUCUAAGUGUGACGAGAUCUUUGAUUUGUUAGUUAAAGAUGGUUAAAUUAUUGUUCCUCAGGGUUUAAAGGAUCCCCUUUUAGAACAGAAAAAGAAAAAGGGAUUUUGUAAGUUUCAUAACUUUCUUGGUCAUAAAACUUACCAAUGUGUUAUUUUCAAGGAUUUUGGUGCAAAAGGCUUUGAAAGAAGGCAAGCUUCAAUUUGGAGAAAGGCCAAAGAUGCAAGUGGACUCUGACCUUCUUAAGGUUGAAGAAGCCUUGUACUCUGAACCCUUUGAAUGAAUUAUGGUGGAGGCUAUUGAUGGUCUCAUGGAGUCUCUGGAUGCUGAGUCUUUAGCUGAAUCCUUUGAGGUAUUGAUGGUUGAAACUGCUUAUGGUUUCGACAAGAGAACUGAAGAUGAACUGGAAGUGGUUUACCUUCAAGAGGGUGAAGACCUAAUAGAUUUCCAAUAGAAAUGCAAAGUGAAUGGGUCAAAAGCGGUACUAUGCCCAAGGUGUAACAUUGUGUUCGACGAGAAAGCCGCUGAAAAAUUUGAAGCUGACAAAAAGAAGGCACAGAAAGAAGAAAGUCCUAUCAUCCCCAGAUUUGUGUUCGACAAACGUGGAGCACCACGCCGAAACAAAGAAUACAGAAGGCAAUUCAAACAACCUCGAACAAAGACUUUCCUUUUGCCAUCGGCUAUACCAUAAGAGAAGUGGGUGGAAUCGGUGAACCAGAAGGGGGGAAAGAGGCUGAUGUGGAGAGUGCUCGAUUUGGAAAAAGAAACAAAAAUUCCAAAGAAGAAGGUAGAACCAAGGGGUUAUGUAGUUUAUCCUAACUACAAGGGAAAAAACCUCAUGACCAUAUUGGCAUGGAGGCGUUACCAGUGAAACAAGAAAGCUGGGAAAGAGGCUCCGACUUCGCAGUUAAAGCCUGUCAAAACCUCUGGAUAAAAGAGGCAACUCCCAAAAGAAGUAUGGACAACAAAAUGGAAGAUCAUGGAUAAUCAGACAAUAACCAUGACUUUUGACCCUGCAAGAAAAGGGAUAGUAUCAUCUCAAAGUAUGAAAUGUUCAUCUCAGGUCGAGAAUGAAAAAAAACCUGAGAACAUGCUUCAGUCGAAUGAGGAGGAGCCUGAAUACUCUCCUCAGUCAGAUGAGGAGGAACCUGAGUAUUCUCCCUAGUCCGAUGAAGAGUUCGAUGAGGAUAUGUACGACGAUACUAAUGAUGACACUUAUGGUGAAGAUUUAAUUUCUAAUUGCGACAUCGUAUCAGUGUUGCUUACAGAAUAUGAUAUGGUGUCAGAAGUCUCUGAAGUAGAGGAGGACUUCAUGCCAGAAGAAACUGUUGGAGGUAAACCACUAUGUUAUUAAGUUAUGAAUAAUGGCAUGGUCGAGGAGCAAAAUGCCAUGUUCGAAAGACCUAGCCCAGGGAUGAUGUACCAUCUGAAACCUUUGUUCAUAAGGGUAAAGGUCAACGGGAUAGCAGUGAACAAAGUGUUCGUAUAGGUGCAGCCGUCAGCUUGAUGCCUUACACUUUGUUCAGGAAGAUGGGGAAAUGCGAUGAUGAUCUCUGAUAACACAAUAUGGUUUUAUCCAACUACGAGGGAAAAUCCAGUAAUAUACUUGGGGUUAUCUAAGUCGAUCUAGCCGUUGGUACGACCAUGCGAUCAACGCUAUUUAUGGUAAUAAACUCCAGAGCAAAUUUUAACCUACUCCUAGGACGGGAAUGAAUAUAUGGAAUAGGAGCAGUACCAUCAAUUGUACAUCAAAGACUCAUAAUCUGGAGAAAGGACGACAUCAUGGAAAACAUCGAAGCUGACCAGAGUUAUUACAGGAUCGAUGAGGCCAAGGGCUCGCAGAAAUCUUUCGACAAACAUUUGGCAAACAUCGCACCUUGUGAUGACGAAUCAGGGUCCUACACUUCAAUCAACACAGGUCGUGUCCUGAACCUCGAUCCCGACUACAAAUUCAUCUGGGAUACUGAAGAAGAAUUGAAGCCAGAAAUGGUAAUUCUACCUACGGGGUGGCCUGCAGUCGAUAAUGUUUGGCUCAAAUUUUGGCUUAGUUGGCUGAGAACAAAAGAAAAUCGACUCUAGAAGCUGAGAGACUACAAAAUUUGGCUAUCGAACACAACGAAUGUGAAGAUGGUCGACAAGGCUAAACAACAACUUCAGAAAGC
rnacentral:lncRNA from 1 species